rnacentral:rRNA from 1 species
AAUAGAUACCCGGGUAGUCCACCCCGUAAACGUUGGGAACUAGUUGUGGGGUCCUUUCCACGGAUUCCGUGACGCAGCUAACGCAUUAAGUUCCCCGCCUGGGGAGUACGGCCGCAAGGCUAAAACUCAAAGGAAUUGACGGGGACCCGCACAAGCGGCGGAGCAUGCGGAUUAAUUCGAUGCAACGCGAAGAACCUUACCAAGGCUUGACAUACACGAGAACACUCUGGAAACAGGGGACUCUUUGGACACUCGUGAACAGGUGGUGCAUGGUUGUCGUCAGCUCGUGUCGUGAGAUGUUGGGUUAAGUCCCGCAACGAGCGCAACCCUCGUUCUAUGUUGCCAGCACGUUAUGGUGGGAACUCAUGGGAUACUGCCGGGGUCAACUCGGAGGAAGGUGGGGAUGACGUCAAAUCAUCAUGCCCCUUAUGUCUUGGGCUUCACGCAUGCUACAAUGGCCGGUACAAAGGGCUGCAAUACCGUGAGGUGGAGCGAAUCCCAAAAAGCCGGUCCCAGUUCGGAUUGAGGUCUGCAACUCGA